GAGAGGAAGAAAGUCUCAAAAUCUAAUUCAAGGGUUAGUUUAGCCAUAACACUUAGAAAGCUAAACAAGGACAAAACACUCUGUUAUAAUCGAGUAUAUAAGUUACAUAAACGAUUAAAAUAGAGAGAAAGCCAUAAUAUGUUAUAUAAGUACCAAAAUUUGUUAAGGAUGGCUAGUGGAUGACUAAUAUGGCCAAGUGCCAAUAUAAUCGAUUACACAAGUUUGAUAAUCGAUU
rnacentral:lncRNA from 1 species